CCCUUAGAUGUUCUGGGCGGCCCGCGCACUACAUUGGCACUCUCAAUAAGUUCCUAGAUCUAAAACUUUGGGGUAUUCUAUUAAGUGGUGUCGUGACUGGGAUUAACCCUUGCAAUUAUUGGUUACGAACGAGGAAUUCCUUGUAAUCGCGGUUUAUCAGCCCGCGUUGAGUGCGUCCCUGCCCUUUGUACACACCGCCCGUCGCUCCUACCGAUGAAUCGUCCGGUGAAGUUCAUGGAGUGGUGGUUGUUCCAGCUGCUGUCGAAGUGAAAUGGACCUCACGAUUUAGAGGAAGGAGAAGUCGUAACA
rnacentral:rRNA from 1 species